GACGAACGUUGGCGGCGUGCUUAAUACAUGCAAGUCAACUGAAGCAGUGGUAGCAAUAUCGCUGUGGAGGUGGCGCACGGGUGAGUAACACGUAGGUAAUCUGCCUUCAGGUCUGGCAUAACUCCGGGAAACCGGGGCUAAUAGCAGAUGAUGCAGCGGCUCGACAUCGAGACAGUUGUUAAAGCUAUGGCGCCUGAAGAUGAGCCUGCGUCUGAUUAGCUAGUUGGCGGGGUAACGGCCCACCAAGGCAACGAUCAGUAGCUGGUCUGAGAGGAUGAUCAGCCACACUGGAACUGAGACACGGUCCAGACUCCUACGGGAGGCAGCAGUAGGGAAUAUUGCUCAAUGGGAGAAAUCCUGAAGCAGCAACGCCGCGUGAGGGACGAAGGGCUUUUGCUUGUAAACCUCUGUAGUGAGAGAAAAAAAUCCCAAUCUUUGGGACAUGAUGGUAUCUCAAAAGUAAGCCCCGGCUAACUACGUG
rnacentral:rRNA from 1 species